CUAACAUGUAUAUUUCCAUCCUUCUUUGAAUUGUUUUUAGUUUGUUCCAUUUUCUUUGUAAGGAUUCAUGUUUCACAGCCGUAUGUCAUUACUAAUAAUAUGUAUAUGUCAAAGAGUUUCCUUUUGAGGUAUAUCAGUAUCCUGUUGUCCCUUAGGACAGUGGUCUCAAACUGGCAGUCCAUGCGCUGCAUCCAGCUAGCAAAACAGUUUUGUACAGCUCAUGAAGAUGUUCUAACUGUUUGUUUAAAUACAGUCAAAAAAUUGUUACAAUUAAGUUAUGUUACAGUUAACCGUAAAUACCUAGUAAUCAACCACUCUUGGCGGUAAAGGGAACGUUUGUUGUGAUUCGCAAACGUUUUCAGCAGCCUCCAGCUG
rnacentral:lncRNA from 1 species